GAAGGGGCCGCUCAUUGUUGGCGCUGGAGGACCCGCGAGGAGGCCGCGAGCGGCCCCGGACCGGAGGAGCCGUGGGAGCGCCGCGGGGAGCCGGCGGCGGGGCCGCCUUGGGGCCGGGGCCCUGCUCUGUAACGGCCCCGGGGCCGCCAAUAAAGCUUGGAUGUGUUGGA